GCCAGCACAUUAUAAUGUGUUGGCAUGUCACACAGGAGGACCUGUCCCAUGUCUAGCAUCACCUGAAAAGUUUCUUUGGGGGUUCUGGGCCAGCCUAGUGAUUCCCAUCCUUCACCAUCUGGUCCCACCCUUAAGUGUUCUUUCAAGUUUGAAUAAUGUAUUUAAUUUGCUUAUGUUAAUAUCCCGUUUUAUAAUCAACAGUUUAUAUAUGUUAUGCCCAAACACCAAAAUCGCACAAUGACCAAAAAAAUAGCCAUAACGCAUUGUGGCCAGUUCCACCAAAACCAAUACGCAUUCUGAGCAUUUCGAAAUGACCACUGACCAUUCUGAAACAGAUCAGGCAUGUGUUUAUAGUAGUAUUUUCUGUGUAAGGUUGCCAGCACAUUAUAAUGUGUUGGCAUGUCACACAGGAGGACCUGUCCCAUGUCUAGCAUCACCUGAAAAGUUUCUUUGGGGGUUCUGGGCCAGCCUAGUGAUUCCCAUCCUUCACCAUCUGGUCCCACCCUUUAGUUAUCUGAUUGGAAAGGGGCAUAAAAUAGCAAAAAAAGUAUGCUCCGUGUUACUAGGUAAUAAUGG
rnacentral:lncRNA from 1 species